rnacentral:lncRNA from 1 species
AGCAGGGUUACCAACAGCAGCCCCGACAGCACCGGAGAUUAGUCCAGCCACGAUCUUACGUACAAGUGGCAUGGUAUUAGUAUCUGGAUCCGUCCAUUUAUGUUUGAGGACAUCAUAAAGGCCCAUACGGGUGGUGGAGUAUAAGGUUUGGCGGAGGAUGGUAGCGGAGACACCAGAGAAAAGGGCGGCAGCACCCUCGGAUUGGAUGAUACGGACACCAAUGGAAAGGGGUCCCACACGGGGUGGAGGAGGGAGUUCUAAGGUGGCUGGUAAGGAGAUGUUGGCCGUAGAGCUCAACGUAAAAGCAGGGCGAUAGGAUUGCACGGAGGAUAGAUUUGGGAUUUGGGAUUCACCUUGAAGUUGCAUACGGACCUUGAUUAAAUCCAAAGGAUGAGUGGAAGCACCGGCAAUGAUGGAGGCAACACCACCUUCAGCAAAACCUUUCAAACCCAUGAUAUAGUUUCUAAUGGGACUUUCAAAAGCUGAUGAUCAAACAAAGAAUUGAACGAUGUGAAUAUAUAUGAGAGAGAGAAGUGAGAUGUAGUGGUGUGUUGAUGAGUUUAUUGCCAUCAUCCAUCCAUUUUUAUAUAUAGUGUCGACUGGGAGCAGGGAAAGAACAGAGAAGCUUCCAACCUUCAUGGAAGCAUGACGCGGCAAUCCAACUACACAAGUGUUUUUGCUUGUGCCUCUUUAUGGCAGUCUUGGUUUGACCUUGACAAUUGAAUAAUCAUAUACUAUUCAACUUCUCUGUCACCGAUGGUAUUUUAUUAUUUUUGGCACUUGUUCUUCGGGUUCCUUGAGAAAGACCUGAUCAACAUGCAAUAAAUUAACACUCGAUGUCUCGAUCAAUAACCCGUUGAUCCUGUCCAAAUUUAUUCUAAAUCUUUAGAAUUUCUUUCUCCAUAUAAUUUCAAUUUCAAGUUCUCUCCAGUACUCUGUUCUUUCCAUCUUGUGUUCUGUGUCAUCAGUACUCUGUUCUUUCCAUUUAUAAAACUACAUUAAAAAAAUGUUAUAGAGGGAAAAUCUCUCUCUCUCUCUCUCUCUCUCUCUCUCUCUCUCUCUCUCUCUCUAUAUAUAUAUAUAUAUAUAUAUAUAUAUAUAUAUAUAUAUAUGCACGUGUACUAGAUUCCAGAAUAAACAUGCUAAAAUACACUAAAAUAAAAAUUUAUUGUUCUAAUAAUAAAAAAAAAUACUAACAAGAAUAAAAUUGACAAUCUUACUAUAAAUUCAUAUAAUAUUAGUUACUCAAGUAAAUUUUUAGUUUUUAGAAAAAAAAUAAAAUAUAAAAUGAAAUGAAACCCAUGAUCUUAAAAAAAAUAAAAAAUGAUAGCAGAUAACCCCUCUAAUUAUUAAAAAAAUCAUGUUCAUUAUUCAUGUUGAUAAAAAUUACUUGAUUAUCAAUAAAGUAGAUCUCAUUAUUAAAAGAAAAGAAAAAACCUAAAAUAUAACCUAUUUUUAUUUUGAGUUUUGUCUUUGUAACUAUGAAUGACAUUGUUCAUCUUAUAGUGCUUCGUGUUUUCUUAGAUAGUUUUCAAACUUUUUAUUUAUUUCAUAUGUUUGUAUCAAUUUAUUUUACAAUUCUUUUAUUUAUUUAUUUUCAUAGGUCUCUUAGAGUGUUCCCUAUGUUAAUUAACAAUCAAUUUAUAAAAAAUAAAUUAAUAUGUUGUUGAGAAAAAAAUAAAAAUAAAAGAAACAAAAUUAAGAAAAAUAAAAAAGAUAGACGUUUUGUAUUUACUAUUCAAGAGGCAUGAUCGAAAACUUUAGCAUUGUACUAAAGUUUUAACUUAUCCCUAUUAUUUAAGGAUUUUUUAUUUAGAUUAUAAACUUUAUUUUAUUUAUGUUUUGGUUCUUAUAUCAAGGGAGAAGAGAAAAAAUCAUUGAAGAGGUGAAAGAAAAUAUUAUGUUGUCUAUAUUCAGAAAAUAAAAAAAAUCGAUCUUGAUAUCAAUAAGUUUGUUUUAAAAUGUAGAGCUCCAUAAAAAUAGUUUGAAACUUACAUCUUGUUGAAAAAAAGGAGAUCCAUGCAAUUGGUCUAAUUUUUUUUUUUAUUUUGUACUGAUUUUAUGGUAUUUUGGGAUUAGAAAUAAGUUUAUUGGUUUUUAGAAUAUCUUUUUUAACUGUUUUUUAGUGAAAAUAAAUUGAAAAAUAGGUAUUUUGGAUCAAAGAACCCAAAUCCUGACUUUCUAGUAAUUAGAGAUGGACUAAAUUUGAACCAUGACGAUGCAUCAUCCGUUUAUUGCAGACCAAGGCGCAUCUGCUAGGCGUGCAACCCAAUCUUCUCAGGCCCAACGCUUCGUUUUAUAUUAUCCUUCAAUUUUUUUUCUUGAAUCAAAUUAAUUCACUAUGAAUAAAAAAAUUAUAUUUCAAAUAUUAUCUAUUUUUUAUGGUUUUCAAAUAAGAUUAUAUUUUUUAUAAUUAUGUUAAUAAUUACUUUGUUAGUUAUUAUAUAUAAAGCUAAUAUGUAAAAUUUAUAUAUAAAAAAAUAUGCUUAUGAAAAUUAAUUGAAGAUAAAGUAUCUAUUUUGUUUCUUUUUAUUGUAAUUAAUAUAUUACUUAAGAUUGCAUUUACUUUUAAUAUGUAAUAGGAUUAGUGGUAAGUGAUAACUUAAAACCACGUGGCCACAUCGCAACCGGAAGAGACUCAAAGUCUUGGUUUGAAAAUUAAUUGAAAAAAAGUAGGACGCUAAUUAAUUAGUUAAUUUCAAGACCACAUUGAAAGUUCUCAUUGAAUAAGGUUCCGUUAGUAUAUUUUACAUGUAAAAUGUUUUUCAUAAAAUGAUUUACAUGUAAAAUAUUUUUAAAUAUUUAGCUUAAAAAAUAUUUUUAUAUAAAAUAUUUUACAUGUAAAUAUUUUUCAUCGGUAACAAUGGAGGAGGAGGUGAUUGUGGUAAUGACAUGGUGACAAUAGUUAUGACAUUGCAAUAGUGGUGGAGAAAAUGAUCAUGUGACGGUAGAGAAGGAGAUGGUUGUGGCGUGACAAUGAUAAUAAAAGAGAUGGUCGUGAGAUGGUAAUGAAAAAAAAGAUGGUGGUGAGGUGGUCAUGGUAGUGAUGAAGUGACGGUGACAGUGGUUGUGGCGUGACAAUGAUAAUAAAAGAGAUGGUCGUGAGAUGGUAUUGAAAAAAAAGAUGGUGGUGAGGUGGUCAUGGUAGUGAUGAAGUGACGAUGACAGUGGUGGUAAGGUGAUCGUGGUGGUGGUGAGAUAAUAGUGGCGGUAGUGGAGGAGGAGUUAGCUGUAGUGGUUGUUGAGGAGGAAGUGGUGAUGAGGUGAUUGUGGUAGCAGUGAGAUGACGGUAGUGGUAGAAGAGAUGGUCGAGGUGGUGAUGGUGGAGGAGACAGUGGUGAUGAUGAGAUGAAAGUGGUGAUGGUGAGAUGAAAGUGGUGGUUGAAAGAGUUAUAUGAUAUUGUAAAUUGGUUAUUAUUCUUGAAAUAUUUUACGGAAUUUCAUGAAAUAAAAAUUUGUAAACUAUUUUGCGCAAUUUCAUGAGCUAAAAAUAUUUUUUAGCAAAUGAACUAAGUUUGAAGGUUAACUAUAAAAUAUUUUAUACCGAUUAAUUUUCUUAUAAAAUAUUUUACGUGAAACAAAUAGAAAGAAAAUUUUAAUUUUAAUUUUUUUUUUAUGAUAAACAAAGAGACACUAAAUAUGAAUUGCAAUUGUGAUAGACAAACUUUUACUUGGCUGUAGAAUUAAUCACCCCACCAAUAUUGUGCGCUUUGGCAUAUCGAUUCACGUGCAGCAAAGAUAUAAUGCAACAUCAUUGUUCAAACCAUGGUGGUUGAGUUUUUCAAGCUCAUGCUAAUGAGAACUUGCUGUAGAAGGGAGUUUGGUCCACCAAAAUGGCUGAUGAGAGGCUCAAACCAUGAAGAUCGUAUGGCAUCUGGGCGUAUCACGUAUGCAUUGGAGGGUGAAAACGAAUGAUCGAACUUGCUGGGACAUCAUUUUUGGCAAGCUGUGCAAUGGGCCUAAGAUCUAAUUAUGAUCCCAUUUGGGAUUAUCGUAUAUCUCUCUCUUCAAAUCCUAAGAUAUGAUGAACUUCAUUCAUGCUAGCAUCUUGGAGUGCCAUAUGUUACUGUUAUGGCCCAACCUGGAGCUUAGUUUUCAAGUCCUAGCACCCUCAAUUCGAAAGCUGUUGAGGCUCGAUUUUGCUCCAAUGGAUGCUAGGGCCUGUUGUGCCUGCCAAAGUCCAGGACCCGGAGGCUUAAGAAGAGGGGGCUGGUUUUCGAAGCAGGGAGAACUAUAAGAAACCACAGAAUAGAAAUCUGGACAGCUGAAUACAAAGAUUAGGAAGAGAAAAACAAGAAGGAUUUUCAUCCUCAAGUAUCAUCUCUUAAUCAGACUAGCUUACUGUAAUUUUUAGUACAUUUCACCACUGAUCAUCCAUUUAUGUUCAACCACACACUCUUAAACAAAUAAUGAAGGGGGAAAAAUUAUAUUGCUUCCAACAUGUAAUCAGAGUUGAACAAACAAAUCAAUAAAUAUACAAGCUUGAGAGCUUGUUCUACUGCCUUCCUUCAGUUUAGAUACAUCUUAAUCUAUCUUCAUCUUCAUAAUAAUUGAUCAGAAAUCUUUGAGUAAUUUCCGAACUUGCUCUAAUGUCACAAAUAGCACAACAGUGAAAGGUCCUUGCCUUGAAAUUGUAGGGAUAAAGCCCUUAUACAGGGCCAUAGGACCCUCUGCCUUGACAGUCUUCAGUGCACAAUCUAAUGCACCCUUAUAAGGUGGCUCAACCCCGGGCUCAACCUUCAUGUUCAUAACUCUAGUCUUGAUCACAUCAAUAGGGUUUGAAGCAACGGAAGCCACAAAACCAGCCAGAAAACUUGCUGCAACAUGGGUGCCGAUCCCAUCACUCAUCAAACCCUUCUCCAAGAUCAUCUCCUUGGCUUGAUCAUAUGAUGCAAGCUGUGAUGCCGUCACAAUCAUUGCACGGUUGACUGUAAGACGCGAACCCCGCCACAGGCUAGCGACACCCUCCUGCUUUGACAUUUGACUUAAGGCAUCAACAACACUCUUGUAGUUUCUACGCUGUUCAAUUGGGAGACGUCCAUCGGCCUGCAUACGGACCAUCGCUACAUCAGCAGGGUUACCAACAGCAGCCCCGACAGCACCGGAGAUUAGUCCAGCCACGAUCUUACGUACAAGUGGCAUGGAUUAGUAUCUGGAUCCGUCCAUUUAUGUUUGAGGACAUCAUAAAGGCCCAUACGGGUGGUGGAGUAUAGGUUUGGCGGAGGAUGGUAGCGGAGACACCAGAGAAAAGGGCGGCAGCACCCUCGGAUUGGAUGAUACGGACACCAAUGGAAAGGGGUCCGACACGGGGUGGAGGAGGGAGUUCUAAGGUGGGUGGUAAGGAGAUGUUGGCCGUAGAGCUCAAUGUAAAAGCAGGGCGAUAGGAUUGCACGGAGGAUAGAUUUGGGAUGUGGGAUUCACCUUGAAGUUGCAUACGGACCUUGAUUAAAUCCAAAGGAUGAGUGGAAGCACCGGCAAUGAUGGAGGCAACACCACCUUCAGCAAAACCUUUCAAACCCAUGAUGUAGUUUCUAAUGGGACUUUCAAAAGCUGAUGAUCAAACAAAGAAUUGAACGAUGUGAAUAUAUAUGAGAGAGAGAAGUGAGAUGUAGUGGUGUGUUGAUGAGUUUAUUGCCAUCAUCCAUCCAUUUUUAUAUAUAGUGUCGACUGGGAGCAGGGAAAGAACAGAGAAGCUUCCAACCUUCAUGGAAGCAUGACGCGGCAAUCCAACUACACAAGUGUUUUUGCUUGUGCCUCUUUAUGGCAGUCUUGGUUUGACCUUGACAAUUGAAUAAUCAUAUACUAUUCAACUCUCUGUCACCAGUGGUAUUUUAUUAUUUUUGGCACUUGUUCUUCGGGUUCCUUGAGAAAGACCUGAUCAACAUGCAAUAAAUUAACACUCGAUGUCUCGAUCAAUAACCCGUUGAUCCUGUCCAAAUUUAUUCUAAAUCUUUAGAAUUUCUUUCUCCAUGUAAUUUCAAUUUCAAGUUCUCUCCAGUGCUCUGUUCUUUCCAUCUUGUGUUCUGUGUCAUCAGUACUCUGUUCUUUCCAUUUAUAAAACUACAUUAAAAAAAUGUUAUAGAGGGAAAAUCUCUCUCUCUCUCUCUCUCUCUCUCUCUCUCUAUACAUACAUAUAUACACAUACAUAUAUAUAUAUAUAUAUAUAUAUAUAUAUAUAUAUAUAUAUAUAUAUGCACGUGUACUAGAUUCCAGAAUAAACAUGUUAAAAUACACUAAAAUAAAAAUUUAUUGUUCUAAUAAAAAAAAUAAAAUACUAACAAGAAUAAAAUUGACAAUCUUACUACAAAUUCAUAUAAUAUUAGUUACUCAAGUAAAUUUUUAGUUUUUAGAAAAAAAAAUAAAAAAUAAAAUGAAAUGAAACCCAUGAUCUUAAAAAAAAUAAAAAAUGAUAGCAGAUAACCCUCCUAAUUAUUAAAAAAAUCAGGUUCAUCAUUCAUGUUGAUAAAAAUUACUUGAUUAUCGAUAAAGUAGAUCUCGUUAUUAAAAGAAAAGGAAAAACCUAAAAUAUAACUUACUUUUAUUUUGAGUUUUGUCUUUGUGACUAUGAAUGACAUUGUUCAUUUUAUAGUGCUUCGUGUUUUCUUAUAUAGUUUUCAAACUUUUUAUUUAUUUCAUAUGUUUGUAUCAAUUUAUUUUAUAAUUCUUUUAUUUAUUCCCUAUGUUAAUUAACAAUCAAUUUUAUAAAAAAUAAAUUAAUAUGGUGUUGGGAAAAAAAUAAUAAUAUGUUGUUGGGAAAAAAAUAAAAAUAAAACAAACAAAAUUAAGAAAAAUAAAAAAGAUAGACGUUUUGUAUUUACUAUUCAAGAGGCAUGAUCGAAAACUUUAGCAUUGUACUAAAGUUUUAACUUAUCCCUAUUAUUUAGAUUAUAAACUUUAUUUUAUUUAUGUUUUGGUUCUUAUAUAGAGGGAGAAGAGAAAAAAUCAUUGAAGAGGUGAAAGAAAAUAUUAUGUUGUCUAUAUUCAGAAAAUAAAAAAAAUCGAUCUUGAUAUCAAUAAGUUUGUCUUAAAAAGUAGAGCUCUAUAAAAAUAGUUUGGAACUUACUUGUUGAAAAAAAGGAGAUCCAUGCUUAGAAAAGUUUUUUUAAAUUGGUCUAAUUUUGUUUUAAUUUUUGUACUGAUUUUAUGGUAUUUUGGGAUUAGAAAUAAGUUUAUCGGUUUUUAGAAUAUCUUUUUUAACUGUUUUUUAGUGAAAAUAAAUUGAAAAAUAGGUAUUUUGGAUCAAAGAACCCAAAUCCUGACUUUCUAGUAAUUAGAGAUGGACUAAAUUUGAACCAUGACGAUGCAUCAUCCGUUUAUUGCAGACCAAUGCGCAUCUGCUAGGCGUGCAACCCAAUCUUCUCAGGCCCAACGCUUCGUUUUAUAUUAUCCUUCAAUUUUUUUUCCUGAAUCAAAUUAAUUCACUAUGAAUAAAAAAAUUAUAUUUCAAAUAUUAUCUAUUUUUUAUGGUUUUGAAAUAAGAUUAUAUUUUUUAUAAUUAUGUUAAUAAUUACUUUGUUAGUUAUUAUAUAUAAAGCUAAUAUGUAAAAUUUAUAUAUAAAAAAAUAUGCUUAUGAAAAUUAAUUGAAGAUAAAGUAUCUAUUUUGUUUCUUUUUAUUGUAAUUAAUAUAUUACUUAAGAUUGCAUUUACUUUUAAUAUGUAAUAGGAUUAGUGGUAAGUGAUAACUUAAAACCACGUGGCCACAUCGCAACCGCAAGAGACUCAAAGUCUUGGUUUGAAAAUUAAUUGAAAAAAAGUAGGACGCUAAUUAAUUAGUUAAUUUCAAGACCACAUUGAAAGUUCUCAUUGAAUAAGGUUCCGUUAGUAUAUUUUACAUGUAAAAUGUUUUUCAUAAAAUGAUUUACAUGUAAAAUAUUUUUAAAUAUUUAGCUUAAAAAAUAUUUUUAUAUAAAAUAUUUUACAUGUAAAUAUUUUUCAUCUGUAACAAUGGAGGAGGAGGUGAUUGUGGUAGUGACAUGGUGACAAUAGUUAUGACAUUGCAAUAGUGGUGGAGAAAAUGAUCAUGUGACGGUAGAGAAGGAGAUGGUUGUGGCGUGACAAUGAUAAUAAAAGAGAUGGUCGUGAGAUGGUAAUGAAAAAAAAAGGUGGUGGUGAGGUGGUCAUGGUAGUGAUGAAGUGACGGUGACAGUGGUUGUGGUAAGGUGAUCGUGGUGGUGGUGAGAUAAUAGUAGCGGUAGUGGAGGAGGAGUUAGCUGUAGUGGUUGUUGAGGAGGAAGUGGUGAUGAGGUGAUUGUGGUAGCAGUGAGAUGACGGUAGUGAUAUAAGAGAUGGUCGAGGUGGUGAUGGUGGAGGAGACAGUGGUGAUGAUGAGAUGAAAGUGGUGAUGGUGAGAUGAAAGUGAUGGUUGAAAUAGUUAUAUGAUAUUGUAAAUUGAUUAUUAUUCUUAAAAUAUUUUACGGAAUUUCAUGAAAUAAAAAUUUGUAAAUUAUUUUGUGGAAUUUCAUAAGCUAAAAAUAUUUUUCAGCAAAUGAACUAAGUUUGAAGGUUAACUAUAAAAUAUUUUAUACCGAUUAAUUUUCUUGUAAAAUAUUUUAUGUGAAACAAAUAGAAAAAAAAUUUUAAUUUAAUUUUUGUUUUUAUGAUAAACAAAGAGACACUAAAUAAGUUAUCAACCUUCAUGUUCAUAACUCUAGUCUUGAUCACAUCAAUAGGGUUUGAAGCAACGGAAGCCACAAAACCAGCCAGAAAACUUGCUGCAACAUGGGUGCCGAUCUCAUCACUCAUCAAACCCUUCUCCAAGAUCAUCUCCUUGGCUUGAUCAUAUGAUGCAAGCUGUGAUGCAGUCACAAUCAUUGCACGGUUGACAGUAAGACUUGAACCCCGACACAGGCUAGCGACACCCUCUUGCUUUGACAUUUGACCUAAGGCAUCGACAACACUCUUGUAGUUUCUACGUUGUUCAAUUGGGAGACGUCCAUCAGCCUGCAUACGGACCAUCGCUACAUCAGCAGGGUUACCAACAGCAGCCCCGACAGCACCGGAGAUUAGUCCAGCCAUGAUCUUACGUACAAGUGGCAUGGUAUUAGUAUCUGGAUCCGUCCAUUUAUGUUUGAGGACAUCAUAAAGGCCCAUACGGGUGGUGGAGUAUAAGGUUUGGCGGAGGAUGGUAGCGGAGACACCAGAGAAAAGGGCGGCAGCACCCUCGGAUUGGAUGAUACGGACACCAAUGGAAAGGGGUCCCACACGGGGUG